UGUAGAUGUAACAUCUGAACUUCCAUAUCACAAGGAAAGCCCUGGCUGCAAGGCAAGAUGUCCAGAUUGCAUUCAUAAAUCUGUAAAACUUUUCUGGAAUGCUUGAAGAGGAAAAUUUCUAUUUGCAAAACUGUUAGAAGAAAUCAGAUACUUCAGAUGACAAGAAUCACAAAGAGAAGAACCACUUCUGUCAGAUUAUUACAUAGAAGAAAUACAUAGAAGUCCGAAGAAUAAGAGAUGCAACGGAAUUUAUGAAUAUAGAACUAACUUUUAAAAAAUAAACCAGUGAAUACUGUUUGGUAUUUCACAUAACAGUUGCCUCUGCCUUCAAGAACAAAUUUGGGGUUCUAAAGAGCACAGAAGUGUCUGCCUCUGUCUUACCCAAGUACUGGCAUGAUGCAGGAUUUCAGGCAUAGCUUUUAUCGUAUCUUAACUAUCAUGAGUGGGACUAUUCCAGCACGAGGGACCAAAUAUUAUCCUGGCGUGCCACAUGUGAGAGGCCUUGUGGACAAGGGCAAACACUCCAGUUCUGCUGGUGAGGCAGGAUGCAGGAGUGUUGAAGAAACAGGUUGCAGGGUUUGCACAACAUCAUGUCCAAGGUUACGUGCUCUGCAAGUGCCCAGAGCUUGGCUGAAGCCAGAUAUGUCUACAAACAAUUACUGUGGGUGGGGUCUUGGUCCUGCUGUGGGCCACAUUCUCAAAAACGAGACACAGUGCGGUCUAAAAAAUACAUGUCAAAAUUUUCAUGAGAUCUAGUCUGUGGACAAUGAAAUAAAUGUAUCAUCAUGAAAACAAAAGGUGAAGAAUUGGCUGAAUACCAGCGUUAAAAAGUCAGUGAUUACCUGUUGAAACACAAUUGUAUUUGGUAUUUUUUGGGGUGUUGAAUAUCUACUCUUUUGCAAAGAAUAUGAAUCAGUUGUGUGAUAACGUUACAAGUUUCUGAAGGUUUCAACAUUAAAACCUUCUUAGGAAAUUUCUUCUGGGUGUUUUUGUUCUCCCAGUUUCUGAACUGGUUGAACUGGUGUUUCUACUGUGAUACCUUUGAGCAACACACUUAUUUAUAAGUUUACUGUCAACCUCUUUUUUCUCCUUUGGUGAGGCUAGAGUCUUUUGUAAGCAGUUAGUAUUGUAACAGGCUGUAGACUAUGUUAUGACAUAACAUUUAUGUAAAUCACAUACAUGGAAAUCAUGGAAAGACUCAAGACCAGCUCCAGAUCUGGGGAAACCUGGAUAUACAGUACAGAGCCUUUUGGAAACUAACUACAAUUUUGAAGUCCUGUCAUUUAGAGUCAAAAGCCUUCUCUAUUUUGGGGGUAAGAGGUUUUGCAACCUCUCAUUUUGUAACUCUGAAGAUGGAGCAUUAUCACUAUUUGAGGUGGAAAAAAGGCUACACUGCUAUCCCUGCCCUGCACAUACACACUUUUCAAAAAGUGGCAAAAGGACAGCUAUCAUUGAUAUCUAAGAUUGCCUGGACUUGCAACUAGGCUGGACAUGCAACAUCCUAAAGAUUAUUUCCUGAAAAAGUUUCCUGCUUUGUUUACACUAAAGUUCAUACAAAUCUAGUCAACAUUUUUUUAUCCCAAUAGAUCUUGAAAAUUCCACUUAGAGUUUAUCCAAAUCAGCAUAGAAUGAAUCAUAAUAAAACUGAAUCAUAGGUUUUAACUGAUAUGAAUAAUAAACAUCAGUCUGUAGCAAUAGAUAAUUUUUAGUUUGUGUCACAAAACUGUCUCCUGAUUGCAAGUUCUGCUUUACAAUAGGUAUAGUGUCCUGACUUGCUGGUAUCUGGCCCACUGUGGAAACCUAGUGCUUUUGCUGAAUUUUCGUGUAAUUACAGCAUCAUCAUAAGCUGAACACAUAGACUGCUGGAAGACUGUAGUACUUUAUUCUGAUAACUGUACUAUUUUUUAAGUGACAAUAUUCACAGAACUACAACUAAAGCAUGCCUUUGAUUUAAAAAGUGGAAAAUUUACUUUCCUCAUAACAUGAAUUAAUAAAGUUAUGCAGCUCUCUGUUGCGACUUGUUAGACAACUUUAUUGCCUUGGAAAAAGAGAUACAUUCUUGCAAUAAAAUCCAUCCAUCUUUGAGUGCUAAAAAUCAGUAGGUAUGGAAAAUACAGGACACCAUUCUGGCCUGCAUAUGGAUUUUGGCUUCCUCAUUUUCUUUGAACAGCAAAGAGGUGAAAGAAAUUGAAUUAUAUCAAAAGUAUUUCAGUGCCAACACUUUUUGAAGAUGUUGGACUAAUAGCAAAGGAACUUUGUGUUCAUUUAAACCUUAAAGCACUUCUAGACUCAU